rnacentral:rRNA from 2 species
UACCGCGGUUACACGGGGGAGCCCAAGUUGAUAGCCUACGGCGUAAAGGGUGGUUAAGAAAACAACAUAAACUAAAGUCGAAUGCCCCCAAGGCCGUUGUACGCAUACGGGGGUGCGAAGCACAACUACGAAAGUGACUUUAAAUACACUGAGCCCACGAAAACUAAGGCA